rnacentral:rRNA from 1 species
UGAGGAAUAUUGGUCAAUGGGUGCAAGCCUGAACCAGCCAUCCCGCGUGAAGGACGACUGCCCUAUGGGCUGUAAACUUCUUUUGUAUAGGGAUAAACCUACCCUCGUGAGGGUAGCUGAAGGUACUAUACGAAUAAGCACCGGCUAACUCCGUGCCAGCAGCCGCGGUAAUACGGAGGGUGCAAGCGUUAUCCGGAUUUAUUGGGUUUAAAGGGUCCGUAGGCGGACUUAUAAGUCAGUGGUGAAAGCCUGUCGCUUAACGAUAGAACUGCCAUUGAUACUGUAAGUCUUGAGUAUAUUUGAGGUAGCUGGAAUAAGUAGUGUAGCGGUGAAAUGCAUAGAUAUUACUUAGAACACCAAUUGCGAAGGCAGGUUACCAAGAUAUAACUGACGCUGAGGGGCGAAAGCGUGGGGAGCGAACAGGAUUAGAUACCCUGGUAGUCCACGCCGUAAACGAUGCUGACUCGUUUUUGGGGCUUCGGCUUCAGAGACCAAGCGAAAGUGAUAAGUUAGCCACCUGGGGAGUACGCUCGCAAGAGUGAAACUCAAAUGAAUUGAC